GACGAACGCUGGCGGCGUGCUUAACACAUGCAAGUCGAGCGAUGAAGCACCUUCGGGUGUGAAUUAGCGGCGAACGGGUGAGGAACACGUGAGAAAUCUGCCUUCAACACUGGGAUAACUCCGGGAAACCGGGGCUAAUACCGGAUAUGAAACCUGCGGGCAUCCGCGGGUUUGGAAAGUUUUUCGGUUGAAGAUGAUCUCGCGGCCUAUCAGCUUGUUGGUGAGGUAAUGGCUCACCAAGGCGACGGCGGGUAGCCGGCCUGCGAGGGCGACCGGCCACGCUGGGACUGAGACACGGCCCAGACUCCUACGGGAGGCAGCAGUGGGGAAUAUUGGGCAAUGGAGGAAACUCUGACCCAGCGACGCCGCGUGCGGGAUGAAGGCCUUCGGGUUGUAAACCGCUUUCAGCAGGGAAGAAGCGAAAGUGACGGUACCUGCAGAAGAAGCACCGGCUAACUAUGUGCCAGCCGCCGCGGUAA
rnacentral:rRNA from 1 species